rnacentral:rRNA from 1 species
UACGAACCGUCCAAACGUUACUCGGAAUCACUGGGCUUAAAGGGUGCGUAGGCUGCGCGGAGGGUGGGAUGUGAAAUCCCCCGGCUCAACCGGGGAAUAGCGUCCCAAACCGCCGUGCUCGAGGGAGACAGAGGUGAGCGGAACUGAUGGUGGAGCGGUGAAAUGCGUUGAUAUCAUCAGGAACACCAGUGGCGAAGGCGGCUCACUGGGUCUUUCCUAACGCUGAGGCACGAAAGCUAGGG